rnacentral:rRNA from 1 species
AUGUCGUCGCUGGACGUCCCCAGCCUCCGGCGAGCCGGUGCCGUCUGCAGGUCCUGGCGCGCGGCGCACAACGCCUUCUGCCUCCCCGCGCUGGAGCGAGCGCCGUGCCUAUUCUACGCCUGCGAGGAGUACGGGCCCAACGACGCCGCCCUCUACAGCCCCGCCACCGGCGCCACCUUCCGGAUCCCCUUCCCAGGCCCCCCGCACGAGAAGCGGGGCUUCACCUUCGCGUGCCAUGGCGGCUGGCUGUUCACCACCGAUGAGGUCGGCGACCCUUACCUCCUCAACCCCGUCACCGGCGCCCAGGCCACGCUCCCUCCGGUCAAAACUAUCUACCACAACGACGAAUUCUACGACGACGGUGGCAAGCAUGUCUGGCCUGCUGACCCCGAGAACGGGACCAUGAAACCCAGCAUUAGCUGGGCGCGACACACGGAGUAUCUUCGGGUUGCCAUCUCUACGACCACCGAUGUGACGGAAUGCACCGUCCUGAUCGUGCAUACGCCGGAGUGGAGACUCUCUUUCGCCAGGCCGGGAGACGACAGGUGGACACUAGUCUCCCAGGAUGAGAGCUUCGUUGCCAACGUUCUUUACAAUGACAAGGAUGGCUUGUUCUACAUUUUGUAUCUUCAUGGCUCUAUCGGUACUUUAAAUCUUUGUGAGCCUUCACCGUCAGUGUCCCUGAUCAUGCGCAGCGUGUUACGUUCGUCUGGAUAUCGUACCAUGUACCCUGUCCUCGGUCCAUCGGGUGAACUCCUGCAGGUCUGGAGGAACUGGAGUCGCACACAUACUCCACUCAAGUAUCGUGAUACUUACCAAGAUAUCGUGAACGAAAUGCUUCAAGGUUGUGUCGACCUUGCCCAGAAAGAUGACAACGACAAUAAGCAACGAGAUGAGCUAGAGACAGAAGAUGGCGACGAAGAAGGUGAACUAUGGGAAACCGAUGCCAAUGACCAAGAGAUUGAUGGGUCACAACUACUUCGUGAAGGCAUUGACCUGCCACAUCGGCUUGUUGACGAGGUCACCACGGACGAGAUCCUAGUCUUCAAGGUUGACGUCGACAGACAGAAGCUAGUGGAGCUAAGGGACAUUGGGGACCAUGCGCUCUUCGUCGGAUUCAACUCCGUCGUGUGCCUUCCGACCAAGGACUUCCCGGCUUUCGACCCAAACUGCAUCUAUCUCACGGAUGACUGUUUUGACUACAGCCCAAUGUUACGGAAAGAUCUUGGUAUCUGGAACAUCAAGAAUAGGAAUAUGCAAAAACUUAGCUAUGCUUGGCCAAACAUGUAUUCUUGGCUACAUUUACCGGCUCCAGUUUGGAUCACGCCAAAGUUUUAG